rnacentral:rRNA from 1 species
GAGAGUUUGAUCCUGGCUCAGGACGAACGCUGGCGGCGUGCCUAACACAUGCAAGUCGAGCGGAGGGGAUAGGAGCUUGCUCCUUGAACCUUAGCGGCGGACGGGUGAGUAACACGUGGGUAACCUGCCCUUGAGAGGGGGAUAACAGGUCGAAAGGCCUGCUAAUACCGCAUAACGCUAAGAUGCCGCAUGGCGUCUUAGCCAAAGGUUAAUUCCGCUCAAGGAUGGGCCCGCGGCCCAUUAGCUAGUUGGUGAGGUAAUGGCUCACCAAGGCGACGAUGGGUAGCCGGCCUGAGAGGGUGGUCGGCCACACUGGGACUGAGACACGGCCCAGACUCCUAC